CAUGCUAACAUUUGUUACUGUCUUAUAUUGUUUUAUUCAUAUUUUUUUAAUUCUAAGUAAGAAUAUUCCACAAUGAGUCAGCAUUCUCAAUGUAAGCAAUGCUUAAAAAUCUUUUAUCCUGUUUAAAAGGGAAUUAAAAAAGUUAGGAAUGUAGUUCGAUUUUUAAUAUAUCUUAGCAAGUAAAAUAAUGCAAGAUCGGUAUAAUUAAGCAAUUCGUAGUUUAGUCAAAAUCCUAAGCUAGCAACCUGGAUCAUAGCAACACAAAACGUAUAUAUCAUUCUCUGUUACUGGAAGGUAGAACUUAUGUUGUUUUCACUAUAAUUUAAGUACAUUUUAGGGAACAUUCUCAAGUUUAGUAUUUGACAUCAGACAUUAAUUACUGGAGAAGACAGGAAAGCAAUUAAACAUAGAAAUAAACCAUAUAUUGAAGGAGCAUAAAUAAGUUUCUCUACCUAUCAAGCCAGAAACAUUCUGCAAUGCUACAAGAACACGUUAUGAGGCCAAACAGCUAUAUAAUGGGUCAUCCAUUGAUGGCAAGUCUAUUCCAAGUGCCUUUUCAAUGAAAACACACAGGUACAGAUCCAAAAUCUGCAUCAGCGAGAGGGAAACAUGAACACUUCAUCUGAAUCUUAUCAACUUGGACACACAAAGGGAGAGAAUAGAAAUGUUUCCUUUAAGAAACUGUCAACCAGAAUGAAAUUGACUAAACAUUGUAGACGUUGCUACGGUAAAAAGGUAAUGGUAACAAUUAUACUUUUGAUAUUAUCAUUUAUUAAAUAUUAAAUGAAAUCUUCUUAACAUGUAAAUCACGAUGCAUAUUAUCACAAAAUGUCAUUCGUCGUGUGCAAUAAUACCGAAAAAAAAACGUUGGUAUAAAAACUUUCCUCUAGUCCCAAAAGCUGUUUUUGAUCAAGCUGCAAAAAAAUAGCGACUAGUAUCACAGAUUUUGUGACAUUUGCACAUAUCUUUAUUUUUUAGUUCAUUUAUCAAUUUGAUGACAUUUUGAUUAUUUUUUCGACUUAAAAGGAUGUCUUAAAAAUACAAUUUCAUGGAUGAACUAUUCAACUGGUAUCAUAUUCAUUAAAUACUGGUUUUUUAAAUUAUCACUUAGAUAUUUUAAAGAAAAGUCUUUUCGGUGUGUUUGAAUUUUUUCAAAUUAUGUUUAUUUAGCACUUAUUAGUCAGAACAUGGGUCAAACUUUUUACAACUUACUUACAACUGUAACUUUAUUCCUAAAGAAUUAUUUAAACUU